UCCUCUGUAGUUUAGUGGUUAGUAUCCGCGUCUGUCACAUGCAAGACCCGAGUUCAAUUCUCGACCGCGGAGUAC